UACGUAGGGGGCAAGCGUUGUCCGGAUUUAUUGGGCGUAAAGAGCGUGUAGGCGGUUAGGUAGGUCCGUUGUGAAAACUCGAGGCUCAACCUCGAGACGCCGAUGGAAACCAUCUAACUAGAGUCCGGAAGAGGAGAGUGGAAUUCCUGGUGUAGCGGUGAAAUGCGCAGAUAUCAGGAAGAACACCCGUGGCUGAGGCGGCUCUCUAGUACGGUACUGACGCUGAGACGCGAAAGCGUGGGGAGCGAACAGG
rnacentral:rRNA from 1 species